rnacentral:misc_RNA from 1 species
UUUCCGUAGGUGAACCAGCGGAGGGAUCAUUACAGUAUAGCAAAACUGCCAAGACUAUCGCUAACGCGAACUAAACUGCAGGCUCGACGGCCGUCACCCGGGUUUAUCCCACCGCCAUGUCCACCACCGCGCGCGGCCCCCUGUGGCUUGUUCGGAAACGGGCGCUCGUUUUCACACAAUCUUUGUAUGCUGUGUUGAAUGUAUUUAAUGUUUUUGCGAUGACGCACUCGAUACAACCUUCAACAACGGAUCUCUUGGAUCUGACAUGGAUGAGGAACG